AGCCACUGCUAUCGGGCUCCGACUAAGCCAUGCGAGUCUAGGGGCUCUUCGGAGCACCGGCGGACUGCUCAGCAACACGUGGACAACCUACCCUCGGGUGGGGGAUAACCUCGGGAAACUGAGGCUAAUACCCCAUAGACCUCGGAUACUGGAAUGUUCCGAGGCUGAAAGCUCCGGCGCCCGAGGAUGGGUCUGCGACCUAUCAGGUAGUUGGUGGUGUAAAGGACCACCAAGCCUACGACGGGUACGGGCCCUGAGAGGGGAAGCCCGGAGAUGGACUCUGAGACACGAGUCCAGGCCCUACGGGGCGCAGCAGGCGCGAAACCUUCGCAAUGCGCGAAAGCGCGACGAGGGGAGCCCGAGUGCCCUUCCUUCGGGGAGGGCUUUUCUGGAGCCUAAAAAGCUCCAGGAAUAAGGGCUGGGCAAGACGGGUGCCAGCCGCCGCGGUAAUACCCGCAGCUCAAGUGGUGGCCGCUUUUAUUGAGCCUAAAGCGUCCGUAGCCGGACCCGUAAAUCCCUGGGUAAAUCCUGGCGCUCAACGUCAGGAAUUCCGGGGAGACUGCGGGUCUUGGGACCGGGAGAGGCUGGAGGUACUCCCGGGGUAGCGGUGAAAUGCUGUAAUCCUGGGGGGACCACCUGUGGCGAAAGCGUCCAGCUUGAACGGCUCCGACGGUGAGGGACGAAGGCCAGGGGAGCGAACCGGAUUAGAUACCCGGGUAGUCCUGGCUGUAAACGCUGCCCGCUUGGUGUUGCCGGUCUUUCGGGGGCCGGCAGUGCCGGAGCGAAGGUGUUAAGCGGGCCGCUUGGGAAGUACGGCCGCAAGGCUGAAACUUAAAGGAAUUGGCGGGAGAGCACUGCAACGGGAGGAGCGUGCGGUUU
rnacentral:rRNA from 1 species